CCUACGGGAGGCAGCAGUGGGGAAUAUUGGGCAAUGGGCGCAAGCCUGACCCAGUAACGCCGCGUGAAGGAAGAAGGCUUUCGGGUUGUAAACUUCUUUUAAGAGGGAAGAGCAGAAGACGGUACCUCUUGAAUAAGCCACGGCUAACUACGUGCCAGCAGCCGCGGUAAUACGGAGGUGGCAAGCGUUGUCCAGAUUUACUGGGUGUAAAGGGCGUGCAGCCGGGAAGACAAGUCAGAUGUGAAAUACCGCGGCUCAACCGCGGAACUGCAUUUGAAACUGUUUUUCUUGAGUACCGGAGAGGUAAUCGGAAGGCGUUGUGUAGCGGUGAAAUGCGUAGAUAUAAGGCAGAACACCAGUGGCGAAGGCAGAUGACUGGGCGGCAACUGACGGUGAGGCGCGAAAGCGUGGGGAGCAAACAGGAUUAGAUACCCUUGUAGUC
rnacentral:rRNA from 1 species